rnacentral:lncRNA from 1 species
AUGUAAUAUACCAGAUUUUGGUAAAAAAAAAAUUAAAAAAAUAAAAAUAGUGUGGGAUACUAUUUUUAUUGGAUUUAGAGAAGUAAAACAUAAGUCAGAAUUGAUUUAUGCUGAAAUCGGAAUAAAAACAGAAGAUUUAGAAUUUUCUGUUGGAAACGAGACAGAUAAAUUAGCAAAAAAUGCACAAUCUCAGAAAAUUAUGAAAAUUGGAGGAUAAGUCAGAAAUAUUUUUAUGAGGCUAGAUUUAAAGUUUCAUAUUUUUUUGACACCCGAAAGUUGAGAAAUAAAAUCCGAAAGCUAUCUGAUAAAGAUUACAGUUCGGUACAGUUUUCGGUGACCAAACGGGGUCGAAACUGAAAACUUAAAGUAUAUUCUUGUUCAGUACGUUAAACCGAAUAUGACUGUCAAAUUUGAGCUCAAACGGAUACUCUGGAAGCUCCGGCGAAAGAUAUCAGAUUUUAAGUUGCCUGGAGUGAAUAGUGUCAGGGUGUAAUUAAUUAAAGAAGCUAUUUAGCUUCUUCUCCUCCAUCAGCCGACCACCAUGGCCGACACACCCACACACACGCACGCAUGGAUGGGGAAGAGAAACUCCCCUUUCUCU